UACGAAGGGGGCGAGCGUUGUUCGGAAUUACUGGGCGUAAAGGGCUCGUAGGCGGCCAACUAAGUCAGACGUGAAAUCCCUCGGCUUAACCGGGGAACUGCGUCUGAUACUGGAUGGCUUGAGGUUGGGAGAGGGCAGUGGAAUACCCGGUGGAGCGGUGAAAUGCGUAGAGAUCGGGUGGAACACCAGGGGCGAAGGCGGCUGCCUGGCCCUGACCUGACGCUGAGGCGCGAGAGCGUGGGGAGCAAACCGG
rnacentral:rRNA from 1 species